rnacentral:rRNA from 1 species
GGAAUCUUCCACAAUGGGCGCAAGCCUGAUGGAGCAACGCCGCGUGAGUGAAGAAGGUUUUCGGAUCGUAAAACUCUGUUGUAAGAGAAGAACGUGUGUGAGAGUGGAAAGUUCACACAGUGACGGUAACUUACCAGAAAGGGACGGCUAACUACGUGCCAG